UGCGUAGGCGGACUAAUAAGUCAGUGGUGAAAUCUCUCGGCUCAACCGGGUAACUGCCAUUGAUACUGUUAGUCUUGAGUUCGGUUGAGGUAGGCGGAAUGUGUAAUGUAGCGGUGAAAUGCUUAGAUAUUACACAGAACACCAAUUGCGUAGGCAGCUUACUAGACCGACACUGACGCUGAGGCACGAAAGCGUGGGUAGCGAACAGGAUUAGAUACCCUGGUAGUCC
rnacentral:rRNA from 1 species